GAUGAAGAACGUAGCGAAAUGCGAUAAGUAGUGUGAAUUGCAGAAUUCAGUGAAUCAUCGAAUCUUUGAACGCACAUUGCGCCCGCCAGUAUUCUGGCGGGCAUGUCUGUUCGAGCGUCAUUACAACCCUCAGGCCCCCGGGCCUGGCGUUGGGGAUCGGCGGAAGCCCCCUGCGGGCACAACGCCGUCCCCCAAAUACAGUGGCGGUCCCGCCGCAGCUUCCAUUGCGUAGUAGCUAACACCUCGCAACUGGAGAGCGGCGCGGCCACGCCGUAAAACACCCAACUUCUGAAUGUUGACCUCGAAUCAGGUAGGAAUACCCGCUGAACUUAAGCAUAUCAAUAAGCGGAGGA
rnacentral:misc_RNA from 1 species